UCGAGGAUCUUCGGCAAUGAGCGCAAGCUUGACCGAGCGACGCCGCGUGGAGGAUGAAGGCCUUCGGGUUGUAAACUCCUUUGGUGGGGGAGGAAAUUUGACCUAUCCCAAGAACAAGCACGGGCUAAGUUCGUGCCAGCAGCCGCGGUAAGACGAACCGUGCGAACGUUAUUCGGAAUCACUGGGCUUAAAGGGUGUGUAGGUGGUCUGUCAAGUCAGGGGUGAAAUCCUUCGGCUUAACCGGAGAAUAGCCCCUGAUACUGAUGAGCUUGAGGGAGAUAGAGGCAGCCGGAACUACCGGUGGAGCGGUGAAAUGCGUUGAUAUCGGUAGGAACGCCAGAGGUGUAAACGGGCUGCUGGAUCUCUUCUGACACUGAGACACGAAAGCUAGGGUAGCGAACGGGAUUAGAUACCCCCGUAGUCC
rnacentral:rRNA from 1 species